rfam:Brassica oleracea var. oleracea cultivar TO1000 chromosome C3, whole genome shotgun sequence
GGAAUAUUAGAACCCGUCUCUUAACUUUUAAUUAAAAAAUCUAAGAACCGACUCUUAAAUAAGAUAUUUAAGAGCCGGUUCUUAGUUCUUUUAGUUAAAAAUUAAGAGAUGGGUUCUUAUAUUCC